CCAGUCUCCGACGCCACCUCUCGCCCUCCCACCUCCCCCCGCCGCAUAGCGGCGCGCGUCACCGAGCCCGCAACCACCGCACCAGUCUCCGGCUUCACCUCUCGCCCUCUGACCUUCCCCCGCCGCAUCGCGGCGCGCGUCCACGAGCCUGCAACCACCAAGCCAUCUAGCCGCGACCACCGCACCAUGCUCCGGCGAGACGCGUGCGACUGCUGUCGACGCACGCAUGGAGCUUCAUCGCCCAGACGCGGGUGCUGGAUCCCGUCGCCCUCCGGUCGGAUCCGCGGCGGUGCUAGUCUCCGGCGAGUUUGACGGUGGAUGCGGAGCGCGGUGCCUGGAUCUACAACGCCAGCAGCUCCGGUACGCAGAUCCGACCCCUUUCCUCCUCUACUUUUCUUUUUGAUGAUUCCUGAACUGAUCUUCUCCUCGCUGCUCUAUCGAGGCGCCGUGACCCGGCCUCACAGGCUGGGCCAAGGCAAAGACUGCUCCCCGACGGCCAAGACACGGCCACAGUGAUGCAGCCUGUGGUCUACAUCGCCUACCACUCCGCCGUCUUCCGGAACCCCCACCACUUUCGCGGCAGAUCUCCAAGUGGCGCGGACGAGACGGCGAUGUCGGCAGGAGGGCACUUUGCAGCCCCUGGCCUGAGGAGGAUGGGUGCACAUAGCCACCAAGCCCUCUGCUCCUCUUCUUCCAAGGCGAGCGAUCAACGACGCAUUGCUCCAGCAGACAACUUGGAGAAUAUGCUUAUUGGACAGGCUGCUUCUUGGCAGUGCAAAGUAAGGAGAACAAGACACACAACCAAGCAAUCAAAAUCUUUCCCAAGCCUAGAUAUUCUUGCUGAGAGCUCCUUGAUGGAAUCACUAAGAUGGACUUACAAGACAGGCAUGGAUAAAACCAUGAGGUCCUCAAAUGCAUAGAUUGCUCUGGACUGCUGUUGUGAUGGCCGAAGGAAGAGCAAGGAGAGGGAGGAGGGAUGGCAGAGGAGAAUAACAUAUAUAGUUGUAAUAUCUCAGAGACCACACAAGUUCGAUGAAUGAUUUCAAUUCCAGUUUCUCCAUGGUUUUCCAAUGCCAAAGAACAAUAGGUUGCGGUGUGGAUCCAACUGGCAUACUUGGGGUAUUUGGGUAGUUCUCAACAUCAUAUGUCCCAACCAACUCAUCUGCAACCACUUCUGUACAUGAAACCACAAUUGGGAUCUAGCUUGACAUGUAUAGCAAGAUUUUUAGGUUAAUAUAUACCUGGAGGUACAGCCGUCGAUGUCAUAUUUUCUGCUGCUUUGCUUUGUGGAUUCCCCAUACGUACCUUGCUUGCAUAUUCACUGCACCUACAUUGGAGCUGGCGAGAUCAUCUACAUUGGAGCUGGCGAGAGCAUCUCAGAUCAUGCAUCCCGUCUGGGUGUCCAGGAGCGAAAGUUGGACGUUAAUGUAUUUGAAACAAUGGAUGUAAGACUAAAACAAUUAGUGGAUAUUUCAACAAUGGAUGUAAGACAGAACCAAUGCGCGGAUCUGUUGAAAGUAUGUACUGUAA